rnacentral:lncRNA from 1 species
ACAAAUAAAUUUAUAGCAAAUUUCAUUUUUAACUGAAAAAUCAAAUUGAUCCUAUUAAAUUUGAUUUUUUAUUCAGUAUUCAUUUUAAAAGAUUUCAGUUUUUCGAUUGUCAUUUUUUUUCUUUUAUAGAUAUAUAUCCUCCUCUCUCUUGCUCUCUAAAGCCUCCCAGCCUCUCCUUCACACUACUCGUGUCUCUCUUUUAAGCCAUUCCAGCCGCUCCUUCAUGCCACUCCAAUGCAAUUCCUUGUUCUUCCUUGCCUUCCUGUGGUGAUCGAAAAAGGAUUACCUCCGCCUUGUCUAGUCUUGUCCCUCUAUCAGUUCUCCAUUCUUGACCUCAAAUCUGUAGAGUCCUCACAAUUGAUUGUUGAUUGAAUCGUCCCAGAUUGAUUUGGUUCAUCAAUUUGAAGAGGUUGUCAACAAAGAUCAAUUAGCCAUUCACAACCUUCUCAUUCCCAAAAUAGAAUCCCAUUAUCCCAAUAAAAUUUACAACUACAAAAUAAUUAAAUGCACAAUUUCAAUUUGCAACACUGAGAAAUAAAAAAUCUUAAUCAAUAAAAGAUUUCAUAGCCCACUAGAUUUUCAAAACAGAAUCCCCAUUAUCCACAACUACAAAAUCACCACAUGCACAAUCUCAAUUUUAAUUACAAUUUGCAAUACUAAAAACUCAUAGAAUUUAAGCAAUUAAAGAAGAGUGAAUGAUUUGCUUAAAAAUAAAUCACACGAACGACAUCAUUGAGACCCUAGCAUAGCGAUUGAAUCUAGAAGUGAAUGGCCUUACCUUGAGCAACUUAGCAGCCACUAACGAUGAUGCAGAAAGAAGAGGAGGAGGAAAAAAAUGAAUCACACGAACGACAUCGUUGAGACCAUAGCAUAGCGAUUGAAUCUAGAAGUGAAUGGCCUUACCUUGAGUAACUUAGCAGCCACUAACGAUGAUGCAGAAAGAAGAGGAGGAGGAAAAAAAUGAAUCACAAGCCACAUUUCUGAUCAACACUCAUAGCCCACAACUCAAUCAACAAUCGAUUGUGAGGACUCCAUAAAUUUUUGAGAUGGAGAAUGGAGAACUGAUAGAGGAACAUGACUAGAUGAGGCAGAGACAAUCCUUCUUCAGUCGCCGCAAGGAGGAAAGGAAGAACAAGGAAUUGCAUUAGAGUGGCGUGUAAGAGAAACUGAAAUGGCUUGAAGGAGAGAUACAAGUGGCGUGAAGGAGA